GAUGAACGCUGGCGGCAUGCCUAACACAUGCAAGUCGAUCGGUAAGGCUCUUCGGAGUACACGAGAGGCGGACGGCUGAGUAACGCGUAGGAACACACCCUGCAGUGAGGGAUAAGACACCGAAAGGUGUUCUAAUACCGCAUACGGUCUUCGGAUUAAAGCAUUUAUGCGCUGAAGGAGUGGCCUGCGUCAUAUUAGAUAGUUGGUGGGGUAAUGGCUCACCAAGUCGAUGAUGUGUAGCUGGUCUGAGAGGAUGAUCAGCCAGACUGGAACUGAGACACGGUCCAGACUCCUACGGGAGGCAGCAGUGAGGAAUAUUUCACAAUGAGCGAAAGCGUGAUGGAGCAAUGCCGCGUGCAGGAUGAAGGCCCUCGGGUUGUAAACUGCUUUUAUAAGAGAAGAUUAUGACGGUAACUUAUGAAUAAGGGACGGCUAACUACGUG
rnacentral:rRNA from 1 species